UUGUAAAGACCUCUGAAAGUUGACUCACGACAUGUGUUACCGGGGAUGUUUUAAGAUGAAAUUUUUUGCAAUAAUAAACCUACGUUCAUCAGACUUCCAGCUUAUAAAUCAUACGAAUACCUAUAUCGAUUGCUCACGAGAGAUGUGGCGCGUGAUAAUCGGCAUCAAAGGAUUUCACCCUUCCAAUCCAAUACCCUAACGGACCUGUAGGCGAAGAAAAUGGUGGAGGACAGAGGCAAAGCUACUCACGAAUUCGGCAACGCAAAAGAGAUACUACCAUCAGCAGAGAAAUUACGAAGAAACGAUCAGAAGCAAAAAAAUGACAAAAGAAAGUCUUUCAUUUUUGG
rnacentral:lncRNA from 1 species